rnacentral:rRNA from 1 species
GACGAACGCUGGCGGCGUGCCUAAUACAUGCAAGUCGAGCGCUUGCACAAGAAAGCUUGCUUUCUUGUUGCUUGAGCGGCGGACGGGUGAGUAACACGUGGGCAACCUGCCUAUAAGACUGGGAUAACUUCGGGAAACCGGAGCUAAUACCGGAUAAUGCUUUUGAACACAUGUUCGAAAGCGGAAAGAUGGUUUCGGCUAUCACUUAUAGAUGGGCCCGCGGCGCAUUAGCUAGUUGGUGAGGUAACGGCUCACCAAGGCGACGAUGCGUAGCCGACCUGAGAGGGUGAUCGGCCACACUGGGACUGAGACACGGCCCAGACUCCUACGGGUGGCAG